UUUGGCUAAAAAUGUGAUAAUUUAUAUAAAAGAUUGCAGUUUUCAAUUUUUAUGAAUAAGGAAAAGAGUGUUACCCACGUUAUUUUGUUACUAUUUGCAAAUCUAGCUUGAAGAAAAUAGUGGUGAAAUAAGAGUAAAUUUUAUCUAUGGUCACGUAGCUUUGUGUUUAUUAUAUAAAAAAAAAAAUUUCAUUCAUUACACAAAAGUUAUUUUACUUUAGUUCGGCCAUCACAAAAGUCACUAUUGCCGAAUUUUAUAAUAAUCCCACCAAAAAAUGACGUGACAACCUUAAUUAGUUCUUAACUUUAGUUUAAGAGAAUAUAAUAUAUUACUCAUAUCUUGACUCAUUUUAUAUGUGUCUAAUUCAAUUUUCCUUAUGAACUAUAUAACGAAAUACCAUCAAUUUCUUAACAGAUUAGGCUACCUAGUGAAGGUUAUUUUCAUUAAAAAAAAAAUUGGUUGAUAUUUUCAUCAUCGUCUUCCAUAGCAUAACGACGACAACUGUUUAGGCAUAAAAUCAACUUGGUAUCACCACGAUUUAUCGUUCAAUAACGGGAUAAAUGGAGAUCCACAAAAUUUGACUGGAAUUAUAAAAUUUUGAAAGAGAGCUGAAACGCAUUAAAAAUUUAACAGGAAGCCACAAGAAAAUUUUGGCAGCAUUUUGACAGAUAAAUGCAAUAUUAUGAAUUUUUUUUUUGUUUCAGAUUCUUGUUAUCUUGUUCUAUUUACCCUCAUUUUUAUAAAUUGUAGUUUCAUAAAAAUAUCAACCUAUUUUUUUUAUGAAAUAGUCUCCACUAUAUAGCAUAAUCUAUUAAUAAAUUGGUAUUAUUAUGUUAUAUAAUCCAUAAGGAAUUGAGUUGGACACAUAUAAAAUGGGUCAAGAUAGGGUAAUAUAUUAUAUUUUCUUAAAUUAAAAUUAAGAUUGUCACAUUAUUUUUUCGUUGGGAUUAUUAUAAAAUCCAACAAUAGUGAUUUUUAUGAUAGUCAGAACAAGGUAAAAUGACUUUUGUGUAAUAAAUGAACGAAGAGUAACUUUUAUGUAGUAGAUACAAAGUUAAAUGAUCAUGGAUGAAAUUUACUUGGUGUAAUAAUAACAAUAGCUAUUGGCCCAAAAUAUUUUGAGCCAACGUUGAGUUUCAAAAGAAGCUCCAGCUCUCCAAUUGUACCAUAAAAACAAAGAAAGGAGUAAAGGAUUAAGCAGUGAUCAAUAAUGCCCAGAAGUAGGUGAGUGAUGAUGCAUUAAUAUAAACUGCUUUCAGGUAAACAAAAUCAAGUGUUCAAGUUGCUCAUUUACACAAAAGUUCCUCUUAAAUUUGUCUUAGAAAGGAAAAGAUUGGUUGUAUACAGUUUAACUUCAUCUUUAUAUUCCCAAUUAAUUAUGCAUACGUAAAGGCAGUUACUACACGAGGAAAACAACCACAAAACAUGAUCAAAAUGCAUAGGCGGAUAAAUACUACUUCCGUAACUUUAAACAACAUAGGUGUUGAUAUCAAUUAUAGGGGGUGUGGAUAAUAUAAAUAGAUCUAUUAUAACUCUAAUGGAUCUAUUUUUAUUUGUGUGUGGAUAUUUCUUGACUUUUCCAAACAUUUUUAUUUUAAAUUUAUUUAUUUUAGUUUUAUUGAGGUUCAUAUGUUGGGGGGGUGAUUAAAUGGUUUUUGAUUAAAUGCUUUACUGUAAUGUUCUUUAGUUUUUUAUCUUAGUCUUUGCAAUUCUUGUAUAUUAUUUUGAAGGUAUUCUAAAUAUUCUAUAACUUUUGUUCUAAAAUAUUCAAUUAAAUUCUCUUUCAUAAGUAUUUCUGUUAAUCUUAUUUCUUUCAUAUCUUGUCUCCAAUAUUUUAAAUAUUCAUAGUUUAUCAUUUUAUCCUAAAGUAGUUGUAAUACUGCAAAUUUCUUUGUAAUAAUUUAUUUUAAUUGUACUAUAUCUGAUAUUAAAUUCUAGGUAUCUAUUUCAUUAAUUAUCCUGUCUUUUUCUUCUAUGAAUAAUUCUAUGUCUAAAUCAUAUUCUAAACUGUCUUUUAAUUCUAG
rnacentral:lncRNA from 1 species